GCCCGGAUGGCGAAAUUGGUAGACGCAGCGGACUUAAAAUCCGCUUUGCCGCAAGGCGAGUGCCGGUUCGAUUCCGGCUCCGGGCACCA
rnacentral:tRNA from 1 species